ACGAAGGGUGCAAGCGUUACUCGGAAUUACUGGGCGUAAAGGGCGCGUAGGCGGCCUUCUAAGUCAGACGUGAAAUCCCCGGGCUCAACCCGGGAACUGCGUCUGAUACUGGAAGGCUUGAAUCCGGGAGAGGGAUGUGGAAUUCCAGGUGUAGCGGUGAAAUGCGUAGAUAUCGAGAGGAACACCUGCGGCGAAGGCGGGUUGCUGGGCUGACACUGACGCUGAUGCGCGAAAGCUAGGGGAGCGAACGGGA
rnacentral:rRNA from 1 species